CCUACGGGAGGCUGCAGUGGGGAAUAUUGCACAAUGGGGGAAACCCUGAUGCAGCAACGCCGCGUGAAGGAAGACGGUUUUCGGAUUGUAAACUUCUAUCAAUAGGGAAGAAAGAAAUGACGGUACCUAAAUAAGAAGCUCCGGCUAACUACGUGCCAGCAGCCGCGGUAAUACGUAGGGGGCAAGCGUUAUACGGAAUUACUGGGUGUAAAGGGAGAGUAGGCGGCAAGGUAAGCGAUAUGUGAAAGCCCGGGGCCCAACCCCGGGACUGCUUUGGAAACUGUGUAACUGGAGUACAGGAGGGGCAGGCGGAAUUCCUGGUGUAGCGGUGAAAUGCGUAGAUAUCAGGAGGAACACCGGCGGCGAAGGCGGCCUGCUGGACUGAAACUGACGUUGAGGCUCGAAAGCGUGGGGAGCAAACAGGAUUAGAUACCCGGGUAGUC
rnacentral:rRNA from 1 species